AACAAUGACUGAUGAAUAAGUGAAUGGGUGUGAGAUGUAUAUACAUAUAUGUAUGUAUGUACAUAUAUGCAUGUAUUUCGAAGUUAAGCAAUUCGCCGUAAAUAUAAAUUCAUUUAUGGUAUUGUGAUAUGCGCAUCGUAUUUACUCGCACUGGCAGGGUUGCAAAUAAAGCAUUAAAAUAAUAAAUUAAUUAACAAGUCAGCCGAUUUUCAGUGUUACCACACUCAAUUUUACAUGUUGCCAAUGAAGACAACGUGAUAAUAACAUUAUUUACCGUUAUUUUUAAAAUUUUAUUCAAAUUUAUGCAGUACAAAUAUAAUAAAAGUACAUUUUUCUUACAUUUACUAUUAAUAUAA